AACUCGGGCACUCGCAGUAGAUUUUCUGGGGGUGUAAAGAAGGUGCAAAAUCAAAAGCCACCUCGGUUCAGUGUGCCUGCGCACCCGGAGUGGAAUAUAACAAUAAUUUAUGUUGGAGACCCCUGUUGUAGUUGAUGGCAUCCCCCCCUCCUCCAAAGAGGCAGCUUUCGAAUGGCGACUCUCAGUAUUCCUGGAAGUUGUGGCAGUUGUCAUCCGAUACCUCUGGACUGGAGGCAAAUCGUCUUAAAAAAGGCAAAACCCAGGAAAGGACAAAAAUAAGAAACCUUGCUGUGCUUUUCCCUGCCCCUUUUUUCCCCUCCCAACUGCUCUGUUGUUGAACAGGUGCCAGAGCAGCUGGAAUUGAGCCAUGGGCAUUUUAGCACACAUUUGAAAGGAUAUAGGCAAAUGAGGUAUGGUGGUUAAAAAUUAAAUCUGGGAGUGAGGUCGAGUCCAUUAGCCAUAAGAGGUGAGUUUAUGGUUGAGCUGGAAGAAAAACAGGAUAUAAAUCUGAGGUGGGGGGAGGGAAUGAUAGUUCUUCCUGUUGGCUCUAUAUCAGGUAUUUGCAGCCCAAGAAGGUUUUUAAUUCAUUGUUUGAUCUGUGCAGGCUGCUCUAGAAGAUUGAGCAAGGAGCAGUGUCAGUUUUGCUACCUGACCUCUGAAAAGUGUUUGCUUCAAGAAUGUGAUGCAGCCAAAUAUUGUCAUCUCUGACUCUAACAUUUGCAUAUUUAUGUUUACUAACUCAAAGCUUUCACAUAAUCAUUCUAGAGGUAAGUGCAUUGCUCCAGUUGGAUGUCAGUCUUUUAGAAUCAUAGGGCUGGAAGGGACCUUGGAGGAUUGCUAGUCCAAUCCCCGUACAAAACAGGGGUCCUUAUUCCAUCCUGGGCAACUGGUUGUCCAAUCUUUUCUUGAAAACCUCCAGCGAUGAAGCACCUAAAAUUUAUGGAGGCAAGCAGUAAUUGUUCUCACUGCCAUGAAGUUUCUCCUUUGGUUCCGUGUUGGUUCUUCCUGUGACUGGCUUCCACCCAUUAGUUCUUGUCCUGUCCUCCAAUACUUCGGAGAUUAAAUCAACCCCCUCCUCCCUGCAUGACAGCCUUUCAAGUAUUGAAAGACAGCUAUCAUGGCCCUUCUAAGCCUCUUCUUUGUUAGGAUAAACAUACUAAUUUCCUUAGACAUUCACCAUAUAGAUUAAUUUACAGACCCCUUCCUUAUUUUUCUCUGCAUUCUUUCUAGGGUCUCAAAAUCUGGUGACCAGAACUGGAUGCAAUAUUCCAAGUCUGGCUUCACUAGUGAAAUAUAGAGCAGUACUAUCCCUUCUCAUGAUCUUGAUGUUAUCCCUCUGUUGAUGCAGUCUAGGAUUAUGCUGACUUUUUUUGGCAGCUGCAGCACAGUGUUGGCUCAUACUUAAGUGGUAGUCCACCAGGACACUUAGAUCUCACAUACGUAUUACUAUUGACCUAAAAAAAGGUAAAGGUUCCCCUCUCACAUACGUGCUAGUCGUUCCCGACUCUAGGGCUAGGUGCUCAUGUCCGUUUCAAAGCUGAAGAGCCAGCACUGUCAAAAGAUGUCUCCAUGGUCAUGUGGCUGGCAUGACUAAACACCAAAGGCACAUGGAACACUGUUACCUUCCCACCAAAGGUGGUUCUUAUUUUUCUACUUGCAUUUUUUGAAUUGCACCUUAUUUAAUAGGGCCUAGAGCUCAAGUUGUCAAGAUCCUUCUGAAUCAUGAGUCUAUUUUCCAAGUGUUAGCAAUUCCUCCCAGUUUGGUGACAUCUGUAAAUUUAAAUGCCCCUUCAGUCCCCCUCGUCUAGGUCAUUUAGGAAGAUGUUGAAGAGCUCUAGGCCCAAGAAAACCUUGAGAUAUUCUUUUGCAUGCUUCCCUUCAUGUAGAUGUAGUUCCACUGAGGAUCAUACACUGAGUGAGUUCAGUUGGUCAACCAAGUACAAAUCCAUCUCGUGUUGGUACUAUGCAUUUCAUUGUUCUAUUUUAGGAAGAAAUAGGCUGUGGUCUACUUUAUCGAAUGCCAUAUUGAAGCCUAAGUAUACUACAUCCACAGCAUUUCCUUGGUCUACUAAUUUAGUCACUUUAUCAAAGAAGGAAAAUAAAGAUUCUUUUUCCAAUGCUGCUGGUUGCUAUUUCUUAUUGCAAUUUAGCUGACAGCAGGAAUAUGGCAAACAUCUCAGAUGGGACCCUUCCUAAUUUUUUGGACAAAGGGUGAAGGAUGAGAGAUGUACUUUCAGACUUGACAGAUUCUGCUAUUUUAUUUAUUUAUUUUUAUUUAUUUUGUCACACAGUAUAUAUAAGCAUAAGCAUGAAAUAAUUAUACAAUAUAUAAGCAUAUAUAUGAGUAUGAGUAUGUAAUAACUAUAUUAAUUGGAUAUAACGAAAGGAAACAAUAGGACAGGAAUGGUAGGCACGUUUGUGCUCUUAUGCACGCCCCUUACAGACCUCUUAGGAAUGGGGUGAGGUCAAUGGUAGAUAGUUUUGGUUGAAGCUUUGGGGAUUUUGGGAAGAGACCACAGAGUCAGGUAGUGUAUUCCAAGCAUUAACAAUUCUGUUACUGAAGUCAUAUUUUCUGCAAUCAAGAUUGGAGCGAUUAACAUUAAGCUUAAAUCUAUUGUGUGCUCGUGUAUUGUUGCGAUUGAAGCUGAAGUAGUCUUUGACAGGAAGGACAUUGUAGCAGAUGAUUCUAUGAGUUAAACUCAGGUCAUGUCGAAGGCAGCGUAGUUCUAAAUUUUCUAAACCCAGGAUUUCAAGUCUGGUGGCAAAAGGUAUUUUGUUGUAUUCAGAGGACUGGAGAACUCUUCUUGUAAAAUAUAUCUUUAUUAAAGUUGCUAAUGCAACUUUACAAUAAAGAUACAGUCAUCUGGGUGUGCUUCCUGUCUGCACUACUUCACUAGGCUGGGACCGGUGUAGCGAGUCUGAAAGUAAAUUUCUUCCCUAUCAUCAGGCAAGAGGAAACUCCCAUUGAGAGGUUCUGUUUUUAUCUCCUGGGGUUGGGAGAAAAUUGGUUAUUCUUUCCUUGGGAGAUGCUGUCUUUUAGGUUUGGCUUUUGGUUUUUUAUUGUUUUAUGUGUUUCUGCAGUGCCUUCAAGUCAGCAUUGACUCCUGGUAACUUCGUGGACUGGUCAUUAGCAGAGUAAUUUUGUAUAUCCAGGUCGCAAGCUUCAUAAUAGUUGUGAAUUUUGAAUAUUGCUUUGAAACUUUGGGGUGAUUUUCCGGCACUAGUGUGUACCAAUACUAAAUACAGUAUUACAAAUCUCUAUCUGAAGCUAUCCUGGAAGCUAAGUAUGCCUCUGGGGCUUUUCUUAUUGGUUAUGGGGGGAAUGUUGCCUGCAUUGGAAGUAUUUCUCCUUUCUAUAUGCUACCAGAGUAGUGUCCCAUGAAAAUAGAUGAUGGUUCUCUUGGAAAUUAUAACUGUACUUUUGUAAAUGUGUCAUAGUCAAUCAUUUGUAUGUGUGGUAAAGUCAUGGUCAGUUUCCAGUUACAAACAAUGAGAUGCGAUCAUGCUUCCUACUUCCUGCAAAUUGUAGUAUUGUAAAUGAAGAAGGGAAGUAAAAAAAAAAAGAAGAAAAUUCAGAAUCAGGCAAAGAUAACCAAUGUCGUACAGUUGCCAAAAAACCCCAACAUUGAUAUUUCCAUUUCAUCACUAUAAGCUGAGCGAAAAGAGUUUCUUCCUAAUUUUCUUGUCUGAAUUAUAAUAAUAUAAAUACUACUUUUUAUUAAUAACUUAUAUAUUUGAAAGAGAAAUACAACUUUAAGAGUGAAAGACUAGCACUGCAACCUGUCCUAAUUCACUCUUCAGAAAUGUUGAUUGCUGAUAUUUUAACAAAGGAAGCGAUAACUUCAAUUAUUCCAAAUUUCAAUUUCAGUCAAGUAAUAUGAAAAACAAAGGAAGGGGGAUUUCAUCUGUAGCUCCUCAAAUCUCUUUUUAGAUUAUUAUCCUGGAGGAAGAAAAUCUAGUAUGCUAAAGACAGUGUUUUGCAACUUGCAUGUUAAACUGUUUCAUCAAAAUUAAAAUCUGUAGUAAAACAUACACGCACUAAAAUCAUAUUCAAGAUAUGCUACUUGUGUUGAUAAGAUUAUAAUUGAUUAUUAUGUUCCCCAAAUUCGUUAUAUUUUGACUUUAUAGUUCCUUUGCACUUUUUUUCUCAUUAAUGUUUGCUUUAACUAUAAAAUAUCUGGAUUUGGAGCUCCUUCUUGUGGUCAUAUGUCGUUACAGCACAUAGCUUUCUUAAACAUGCAGAAAGUGCUUCAUCUUAAAGUUAGUUAAUUAGAAAAUCAAUUCAAUAAAAUUACUCUAUUAGGCACUGACUGCUGCAGAAACUAGUUCUCUUCAGCAAUUUAAAUUGGUAAGUUCAAUAGCUAAUUUGAACUCAAAUUCUUGAAAACAGAUUACUUGUUUUUCUUUGCAGUCCUGAUCUAUUGCAAUGAGAAAAUAUUUGGAAAUGUGUUCUAUAUCAGUGUAAGGUUUAGUCAUCACAGUUUUAAACUACCUGAUAAACAAUAUGUAGACAAUUCAAAUCAGAAUUAGUUAUACAUGUUCUCUUUUUAAAGGCAAUUAUGUGAAUAAUCUUAUAGAAUGAUUAACAGCUUUUCCUGAAAGACUAUAAGGAAGAUGGUUUAUGACAAGGGCUAAGGACAAACCAUACUCUGGUGGAUUCAUAAAUAUGCUAAUAUAGUUUAACUAUGGUUUGUUGAAUAAGUCACAAUUGAGUUCACCUUAAGUCAUAAAUAAUGUUUUACAAAUUAUAGUGGUUAGCCUCAUGUAACAUGCUAAUUUUAUUUAUUUUUUAGUUUUAAUAUUUUAUUGUAAGCCUUUGAGCUACUUUAGUAUAUGGAAAAAUGAUGUAUUUAAUAAAUAAAGUGAAACCAUGUUGUGGUUUAGUGUAACCUGUAAUCCCAUUUUCUUCUGCCUUUUAGAAACACCUGCAACCUCCCCUGUCUUAUACAGUACCUACUACACUUCCGUUCACUCCUUAUGUUAAAUCACAGUAUUUUGUUCUAGCAGAAGAUGCAAAUAGACUGUCUUCUUUCUUCCAGCAAGCUGAACUGAAAAACAGAUAAACAGACACUCAAAGAAUAUAGCCAAAAAUAUUGACUACUGCCAACUAAUGAAGUUCUAGAAAAAAAUAUGAAUUUAUUGAUUCCCUCCUAUGGACAUGAAUCAAAACUAAUGUCUUGCUUAAUGGAAGUACUUCUGGUUGCAGGGUUCAAACUGCCACUGAAAGAGAUAGUUUUGAAGGAGGAAAAGGAAAAAAGAAUAGAGGAGACCAGAUAUGAAAUUGUAGAUUACUUUUCUGCCAUAUUUCAAAGAAUAAUUACUAUCAUGGUGAUUUUGAAAAUAUGGAAUAUUCUAUAAAUAUUGAAAUACAAUUUUCAUAAAUUGACUCUGCAUGAUAAAGCAUUGUAAUCUAAAUCCAGUUAUAAUCAUUGAAAUUGAGCACUGCUUUCCCCAUUGUAGUAAUACAUUAUUUUCAUUCACCCAGUCUAGCAUUCUGCUUUCCAUAAUGAUAAAUUCUUGAUUGUUUUUUUGGGAAAACAAACAAGUGAAACAGGUAAAGCCAUGCAACACCUAGCAAUUUGAUGACAUCGUUGUUCUAAAAACAAAACAGAACCAAAACAAAGCCUAAGUUGUUUGAAAGGUAUUAAUUUUAUAGCCUGAAGAAAUAGAGGUAUUUCACUCUGCUUGUCAUUCAGCUAUUUUGUAGAAUGGCAGAACUUUAAUCUGCAGCUAGCAAAAUAGGUCUGAUGCUGAAACCUUUAGUAAUAACAGCUGUGCAACAAUUUGUGUUGAAAGAUUAAAAAGGUGCUGUGAAGCUUGCAAAAGGCCAGACAUGGCAUCUGUAAGCAACCGGGUAAAGCCAACAUACCUUUUCUUAGUAUUGUGUUGCAGUUAUGGAGGGGGGGCAGCUGUGCAAUCGCAGAAUAAAAUAGAAAUUCUUUAGGCUGCAGGUAGAGAUUGCCUUUCUUCACUCUGAAGUACCAUUUUGCUUUUGUAUCCAAAAUGCUGCAAAAUUUGAUUUUUAAUUCAUGGUAAAAUACUUAUGAGUUGUCUGUCUCUAGUGAUUGUACUUUUGUAGAAGACUUUUAGAUGUUUGAGGUGUUCAGUGGUGGGUUUCAAUUUUUUUUACUACCGGUUCUGUGGGUGUGGCUUGGUGGGCGUGGCAGGGCAAGGAUACUGUAAAAUCUCCAUUCCCACCCCACUCCAGGGGAAGGUUACUGCAAAAUCCCCUUUUCCUCCCGAUCAGCUGGGACUUCGGAGGCAGAGAAAAGAUGGGAGCAGGGCCAGUCAGAUUUUUUACUACAGGUUCUCUGAGCUACUCAAAAUUUCCACUACUGGUUCUCCAGAACUGGUCAGAAUCUGCUGAAACCCACCUCUGGAGGUGUUGUCUCUUACAUCUUUCUAGGAAUGCAAAAAAUAGCUGCCUGCUGAAUCAGGUACUUGUAUUCAUUAUGAACUACUAGAGUCAUCAGACAGGAGUUUUGCCAAUGCUUCCUGUAGCUGAUGGAGACUGGAUAUGUGAUCUUCUUCCUCUAACACAUGUGCACAGAGCUGUAGCCUUUAUGAAAGGCCAUUAUGCAGUAAUCUUAAUUUUUUCCAUGUAGCCUUUUUUAAAACAAAAAGCUCUGUAAUUCAGAAGCUUGCCUUUGUAGUGCUCACAAUUUCCUGUACCUCUGCAACACCAAGGUUUAUGUCACCCUUAUGACAAAUUGUCUUUAUUCUAGCAGUCUGUUUAUGCAAGCACUGUCCCAGCUGUAUCUAUAAAAGGGACAGACAUCAUUAGACAUCCACUACUAUUGAAUUAAUUCAUAUGGAUGGGUUAGCUCAAUAGCGACCUACAAACCUUUGACCUAUUGCAGCAAAGAAGGUUACAUGCAGCAGCAAACCUUCUUACAAGCAGCCCAUUUGGAAACAGAAAUGCAUCCAUGUUCAUAUUUGUAUCAAUAUUAUUGGAGACAUCUGGACAGAUCACAUGUCAAUACUCGGAAUGCUCAGGUACUACCAAAGUUUGCAAAUUCUUAGAGAGCCUAUCAGGGUUGACAUCAUGAGUGCUGUGAUUAGGUUUCAUUAUCUUAUUAAUCAGCCUGUAUGUCACAAUGUUGCCAUACUUCUCAUAAGACCCUCACAUCUGCUUCUAACCAAAAAAUGCUAGAAUUUCCAGAGUCUUCUUAAUGGUCUGAUGUAUUGAAGUGAAAAGGGUUACAGAAACUUAGAAAUGGAUGUGUAUAUUAUAACAUCCCAUUUAUCAUAGGGCAAUGUGGUGAUCAGUCAACAUAAUUUCUUUCUGUUUGGGGUCCAAUUUAGCAGGAUAGGUUGACUAUCUCCCAAAAGGGAAAAAGAAAGAACAGAGGAGGAAUUAGAUGUGAGAAGAAAUUUACUUAGGUAGAAAUAGCAAAAGGGAUAAAUGCCAUUGGCUUAAUCCCUGAUCUCAUCUAUAUUCUAGUCUAGUCAACAAGGAUAUUGAGGUGGGUCUACUGCUAUUCCACCUACCUUUUUCUAGUGAUCUCAGUGCAAGGGAUGUAGCAACCUGUAGCCAGAUGAUAAGCAAUGCCCAGAUGUUUUUGCCCUGCAAUGUUUUGCAAAGUGCCACUCCUGUUUCAAAUUAAUUACAUAUGCCAUUGGAACUAAGUAGAGAUUCUCAAGUUCAAGUAUCUGCUCAGCCAUAAAGUUCACUGAAUGACUUUGGGCCAAGUUGCCAAAGUUACAAUGGAAAGAAAAAGAAUAUCUGCUAUUCUUUGAAAAAUAUGGUAAAAAUAUAAUAAUAAAAUAUUUCCCAUUAUUUAACAAAUACCAAAUAACACAAAUUCUUUUGUUCCAGCAUUUAACUCAGUUUUCUUCAGUUUGGGGACCUAUAGUUGUCUAAACAUGACUGAAUUACAGCUUCCAAAAGCUGUACUGGCAAUGCUAGGAAACAUGACUGAAUUACAGCUUCCAGCUAGUACUGGCAAUGCUGGGAAUUUUAGUUCAGGAAUAUAGGGUAGAUCUGCAUGGAGCUGCUACAUUUCUGUCUUUAAUGGAGAUGGCUGCCUAAAUAAAUGCAUCACAGUUCACAAGACAAUCUUGACGUUGCAUGAGUUUGAAUAGAUAGGUCCAGUGAAAUGUUUUUGGAUGCUACUACUUGUUGACAGAUGUUGAUAGCAAUAGCAAUAGCACUUAGACUUAUAAACCACUUAAUAGUGCUUUUACAGCCCUCUCUAAGUGGUUUACAGAGUCAGCAUAUUGCCCCCAACAAUCUGGGUCCUCAUUUUACCCACCUCGGAAGGAUGGAAGGCUGAGUCAACUUUGAGCUGGUGAGAUUUGAACUGCACUCUAACCACUGGUGAGAUUUGUACUGCACUCUAACCACUGCACCACCUUGGCUCCUAUAAGGGAUCCUAGCAAUUCCAAGUAUGCUAAGGGCCCAAAUUAAUGUUAGGGGCUCUUAGAAAGUCUUGUUUAAUGAGAGCCCAUGUCUUAGGGCCUAUUGAGCUCAAGGACAUUAAUAAAUGAAAACUAAAUGUCAGGACAGCCUCCUUAUAUAGCAGUGCUUGCAUUAAGAAAAAAAUACAGAUUUAAUUAUGAGAUAUUGGAAAAAUAUAUAAGAUAGGGUGCCAAGUUUCUGGAAUUAGCAUUGAGUACUAUUUCAUCCAUUUGUUUGAGAUGCUAUUUCUUUACUAGCAUGAAGUUCAUUAAACUCUAAAAAAUGCUAAUAUCAAAGCUGUUAAUUUUUAUGAAGACUAGGGAUUAGAUGUAAAUAUUCUUGGUGGAAUAUCUGAUGAGUGCCUUUUGUACAGCAAUAAUAAAUAUAAGUUGCUUUAAAUUUUUUGAACUGUACAGUCUGUCAAUUAGUUAAUUUUCCCUAAAGAGAUUGAGGACUUUGGCAUAAUUUAUAUACUGUUAGUUCCUCUAGAAUCUAACUAAUCUAGUUAGUUAGAUUCUUUUUCUUAAUUAAUACUACAUUUAUAUUUGUA